UGUUAUUAGACUUCUGAGUGGACGUCUCAAAUUUUAAAUGUAAUGUUGAUCUUGCUGUUUGUGCACCUUCUCUGCAGCCGUAACACUGUAUUCCUCACGCUGUUCGAUUACCCUAAUUAUUGUGACAAUAAUAAAUCAAAAGUCAAUUUUAAAAUGGCCCAAUUUUAUUCCCUGCAAGGAGAAUUGCCUUUUACCAAAUCAAUGUUGCAUCUGAUCCUUUAAGUCAUCUGCUUCACGAGGGAAGUUGAAAUUGUUUUUUCAUAGUUUUGUAGAGCGCAGAGGAAGGCCAUUCAGCCACCCUGCCUGUGAUAUCCUGCCAAUUUGUCCUUCUGAAGUACUGAUGCAAUUCAUUUGGAACAUCUUUAUCAGACUUGCUUACCCUACCCUAUCAGAGGAAUUCCAGGUCCUGACAAUUCACUGUGAAAACAAUACUGUUUUCCUUCAGCUGGAUAUUGUAACUCCAUGUUCUGUGCUUACUGACCCUUCUGUAAUUGGACACUUUCACAUACAGAUGAGUGUAAUAAUGUGGGAUGUACACUCGUGUGAGAUCUACAGCCACAGACUUCAGUGACCAGACGUACAUAUCGGAGAUGGUAAGAGAGGACAUUGUAUCUGGAGCCCUACAGACCCAGGCUCCUGUUCCACAAGAUCUGAUGUCACUAUGGAAUAGCUGUUUUUGCACCAUCUCAUUAGCUCUCCUUCAAUGUCAAGAUCUCUGUACUCUUGAAGUUUGCACAUCCAGCAGUGUUCUCUGGUCUCUAAGAGGACGUGGGAGACACAUGUGGCCUUUAUUAAUUCUCGUGGAGUGCGCACACACUGAUGGAAUGGAAUGGAAUGGCACAGCAGCUUCUGAUGAGGCGGUGCCACUUCACAGAAACCUGGGUGUAGCAGCAGUGAAGACCAACUGAGGAAGGACUGACUUAAAGGAGAGCACCUCCACAGGCCUGAGUGACCACGACCUCAUGAAAAGGCAGGCGAGGAAGUGAAAUCUUAGCUCCCCCCCGCCUUUCCGUCUGCUUUAUUCUCUGAUCUAGGGAUGAGUGUGUACUCGGUGAAAUGAAGAAUAGAGGGCGUUCUGAGGAUAUUCCAGAGCAUCAGAAUUCCAAUUGGACAUCUAGACCUCAAUCUGCAUAAAUUCCCAACGGCUCCUCCCCAUCAACAGAAAGGAGGUUGAAAGGGUGGAGAGCGUCAAGUUCCUCGGGGUGACGAUAACCGACCACCUGUCCUGGGCCUCUCAUGUAGAUGCAGUGGUCAAGAAGGCACAACAACACCUCUUAAUCCUCAGGCGCUCAGGAAAUUCAGCAUGUCCAUAAGGACCCUC